rnacentral:rRNA from 1 species
AGUGGCGGACGGGUGAGUAACGCGUGGGUAACCUGCCUCAUACAGGGGGAUAACAGUUAGAAAUGACUGCUAAUACCGCAUAAGCACACGUGAUCGCAUGAUCGAGUGUGAAAAACUCCGGUGGUAUGAGAUGGACCCGCGUCUGAUUAGCUAGUUGGUGGGGUAACGGCCCACCAAGGCGACGAUCAGUAGCCGGCAUGAGAGGGUGAACGGCCACAUUGGGAAUGAGACACGGCCCAUACUCCUACGGGAGGCAGCAGUGGGGAAUAUUGCACAAUGGGGGACACCAUGAAGCAGCGACGCCGCGUGAAGGAUGAAGUAUUUUCGGUAUGUAAACUUCUAUCAGCAGGGAAGCAAAUGACGGUACCUGACUAAGAAGCCCCGGCUAACUACGUGCCAGCAGCCGCGGUAAUACGUAGGGGGCAAGCGUUAUCCGGAUUUACUGGGUGUAAAGGGAGUGUAGACGGCAGUGCAAGUCUGAAGUGAAAGCCCGGGGCUCAACCCCGGGAUUGCUUUGGAACUGUGCAGCUAGAGUGUCGGAGAGGCAGCGGAUUCCUAGUGUAGCGGUGAAAUGCGUAGAUAUUAGGAGGACACCAGUGG